ACGUAGGGUGCAAACGUUAUCCGGAUUUGUUGGGCGUAAAGAGCUCGUAGGUGGAUUUUUAAGUUGAAUAUUAAAUACUCCGGCUCAACUGGAGGAAUGUAUCCAAAACUGGAAGUCUAGAGGUAUGUAGGGGAGAAUGGAACUUACGGUGUAGCAGUGAAAUGCGUAGAUAUCGUAAGGAACGCCAAUAGUGAAGACAGUUCUCUGGACAUUACCUGACACUGAGGAGCGAAAGCGUGGGUAGCGAACGGGAUUAGAUACCCCGGUAGUCCACGCCGUAAACGAUGCAUACUAGGAAUUUGGAGAAUCGACCCUCUGAGUUUCGAAGCUAACGCGUUAAGUAUGCCGCCUGGGUAGUACGGCCGCAAGGCUA
rnacentral:rRNA from 1 species